ACAGCAGUAGCCACGGGAAUACGAAGGGGGCUAGCGUUGUUCGGAUUUACUGGGCGUAAAGCGCACGUAGGCGGAUCGAUCAGUCAGGGGUGAAAUCCCAGGGCUCAACCCUGGAACUGCCUUUGAUACUGUCGAUCUGGAGUAUGGAAGAGGUGAGUGGAAUUCCGAGUGUAGAGGUGAAAUUCGUAGAUAUUCGGAGGAACACCAGAGGCGAAGGCGGCUCACUGGACUGGUAUUGACGCUGAGGUGCGAAAGCGUGGGGAGCAAACAGGAUUAGAUACCCGGGUAGUCCCUGUCUCUUAUAC
rnacentral:rRNA from 1 species